rnacentral:lncRNA from 1 species
GGAGCCGGGGCGGAGCCACGGCGCUGGCGGCCCCGGCGGCGGCGGCAGGUGUGGAUGGGGCGAAGGUGCGGGAACGUCCACUCCCGCGCGCCCCUCUCGGGGACCAGGGCGGCCUCCCAGGAGGAGCUUGGUUUCUGGUCCUCAUACCGUGUGGUUGAGUGAAAUCAAAACUUCCACGAUAGCAAUGCUGAUUGGACAAAGAAUGUGUUGUGGACACAAAACCAAACUCUGGAGGACAGAGGAUUCAUUCCAAGGGUCUGCUUGUAUUCAAUGACUGGUCUACGUGGGGGUGUGAAGUCCCCUUACUCCACCUGUGAAGAGUCUUCCCAGUUUCAGACCACCCUCCCAGCCUCCUGUUAUUGGCUAAGGCCAUUUUGUGACUACACUGCAGGUAGAGACAGAUUCUCUGGAAGUACCUUCUCAAGGCCAGUGUAGAGCUCCCAAUCACCCAGCAGAUUCUCCCUCUCCCACUGCCCGCACCAAGCAGGUCUCCAGGUGUUCCAGCUGCUGAUGAAGUCCAGUGUGGAGUUGGUCCAGGAGGGUCGUGUUCCAGGCAGCAGAGGAGCGCUCUGUGUGGAAGAGGCUGAAGAUCUGCUGCAGCAUCUCAUGGAGGACAGACAGGGCCUGGGCCUGCUGCAACUGGCUGUCAUACACAUCUCCAGGGGAAACCUGAAGUCUCUUCUGUCCUUGAGACACAAGAAAGGGGAGAUCCAUUUCAUUUGGCCCAGAAGCACCAACGUCUUCCUUCCUGUCAGACCAUGGUUCUGAGUCAGGUCACAUCCCAGAGAUCAAAAAGAGCCACAGCUGCACACAACUAGGACCACCACUAGAGAGUGAAGAUGGAGUCUCAGUCACCAGGCUGGAGUGCAGUGGCACAAUCUCAGCUCACUGCAACCUUCACCUCCUGGGUUCAAGCAAUUCCCCUGCCUCAGCCUCUCGAGUAGCUGGGACUACAGGUGCUCACCACCAUGCCUGGCUAAUUUUUUUUAUUUUAGUAGAGUCGGGGUUUCACCAUGUUGGCCAGGCUGGUCUCGAUCUCCUGAUCUCAUGAUCCACCUGCCUCGGCCUCCCAAAGUGCUGAGAUUAUAGGUUUGAGCCACCAUGACUGGCCGAAUUUUUGUAACUUCUUUUCACAUAGUGGUUUACUGGGUAAGGUGUAUCUUGCUUCUCCUACAUGAUAUUCUUAUUUAUGAUGAAUUAAAACAAAUAAAGAAAAGUAAAAGAAAGGCAAAGGAACCAUAUUGUUCUUCUCCAUAAUUUUCAAGAUUUCAGAUUUUUUGUCUCUCAUUUCAACUUUCCUAGAAAGCAAACCUCAACAAUUGCUUAUAUAUUAAAAACAAAACAAAUAUAAGCCUGAAUAUCAGGAAGUAAGAGAAGUGACUUUCUGCUGACAAAAUAGCAAAACAUAUGUUAGCAAAAUUCAGUGCAGCAAAAUUAGAGACUAGGGACUCUGUCCCAGGGGAAGGAUGAAUGUCAUUGUUGAGGUACACAAAAGCAAGGGAAACGGCUGCUUCUGCCAGAGCCUCACAGAAGAGCAACUCCUGGGUCAAUGGAUUGUCCUCAGCUUUGCAAGACCAGCCACCUGCUCUUCUUUCAUUGAAUGCAGAUGUUAUCACCUCUGAGGGAAACCAUGAAGCCAGAACCACAACAGAACAGAAAGCAGCUCUGUGUGAAUGGGCAGAAGGAUAAAGGGAGUGAAUGAUCAAGGAAACCCUGGUGAUAUGAGACUGCAUCCUGGAAUGCUGAGAGCCAGGGAAGGAAUGUACCAGGUGCCAGAAUCAGUCAAUAAACAUCAUGUGUCUUCUGCAGUUCAAACUAGAUGCUUCUUCUCCUAUCUCAGGAAAAGGAGCAGCCACCAUUCCCUGACUGCAUAUAAAUAGGACACAUCUUUGAAAUGAGGAUUGACAAUUUUUCAGCCUCUCUAGAAUUCUCAUUUUCUUAAUCUCCUUCCAUUGGAGGUCCGUUACUAAAAUAUAGGACAUAGUUCCUAAGAAUUUUAUAAAAAGACAAAUAAUAUUACCAUCUACAGCUGUAUGAAGAAAAAUAGGAAAAUACCUACCAUAGUUUAACUCCUUAUUCGAUAAAAGAUAUUAUCGUAGGUGCUUUAAAAUGCAUGUGUUCCUUUAAUACUCACAACUAUAUAAAUAUUUUGAAACCAUUUUAUUUAUGAGAAAACUAAGGCUCUAUGAGAAAACUAAGGCUCAAAGAGAUUAAGCAGAAUGAUC